rnacentral:tRNA from 3 species
GGGGCCAUAGCUCAGUUGGGAGAGCGCUUGAAUGGCAUUCAAGAGGUCGGGGGUUCGACUCCCCCUGGCUCCA